GGAGUUUUUAGCCUUUUAACAUUCAAGGAUUAGGUAAGUUCUCCCCGCGGUAGACUUCAAAUACUCUUUGUCCUGCCCCUGCUUGGCGAAAUUUACCGAAAUUAUCUACCUAUCCCGCUGGAGUGGGAGCCGGGGGAGAGCUGGAACCGCGUCUCUGCUGCUCACCUUUGUGUCCUUAGCUCCUUCGCAUGGGGUCCGACCGCAACACGUGCGCUGGAUAAACGCUUGUUAACUGGGUGAGAGCCAAGGCCUGUUCUUUCCACUUCUGGGGCUGUGACUUGAGUUUCUCCGCAGGAGCAGAUAGUGUUUGUGUAGGGACUGCGGACUUUUGCAUUACAGCCUCCCUGCUUUGCCCGCCUGCUGCUGGAAGCUUAGCAGAGCUCCCUCUUUGCCCACUAGCAGGGCAUUAGCUGGUGCUGAAGACAGUGGCUGCUUGGCGAGCCUGGAUCUCCAAGUGACCCCCUCAGCAACUCCUGAUGAACAGGACUGAAGCCAAUAUUAAAGCAAGUCAACCAAAGGUUCUCUGGUGUAGACAAGACAGCAAAAGGACAGACUACCUUGUGGAACCUAGCAUUGUUCUCCUUCUGCAGCACUAAGUAACAUUUGUUCUCCGUUAAGAUCUUUGCAAACCACACACAAGAAUUGCUGGUCAUCCUGCCAAUAGAUGCUGCUCACAGAACCAAAUUUCCUGUGCUGAAUUGUCACUCAUGGGCUUGAGAGUAGGAGACUGGAGACCAAGGUGGCUAGAAUCCAGUUGGGCCUGAUGUCUCCCUGUUGAAAGGGCUCCUUGUGGAAUGAAUAGCACAUGGCUCCUGUGGUGGAUCUGAUAGUGGCAUAGCACCAAGUGAUGCAGGCCUGCCAGGGGCCACAGACACAGAAGAUGCUCCCGGGGUCCCCCAUGUACUCCAGACACACUGCAGGCCACCUCUCCCAGCAGGUUGCCAGUCAUGGGCCCCAUCAUCAUGACUUCUGUCCAAGGUGUGCUCGGAAAUCUCUUCCUUAACUGUGACUUUCUGACAGGUGGAGGAUGUGGUCAGGAGUGGGAAAAGGAUUCGAGACGGGAAGAGGGAGGGGUUCAGGAUGAAGAGAGAUAAUCUGUGCCACAGAUGCUGGCCCUGCAGUUAGCUCCCACCUAGUCCGUGCACACACAUUCUAAUCCCCUCCCAUUCCUUUACAUGCUGCGGCCAGAGAGGCCUUUCUCAAAGUGGAAGUCUCAUCCUCACUUCUCUGGUUACAGUGCUGGGCCAUGGUAACUUACAAGGCUUAGCAGGAACUGUCUGCGCACUCCCCCUUCCUGCCCACUACCUUGUUUCCCUCCAGUUGCGAGAGAAAACAUUGAUUGAGCAUUAACUAUGUGCCAGGCUUGUCCUAAGUCCUUUGCAUGUAUUCACUCAAACAAUCCUCACAACAUUCCUAUCACAUCUCCCAUUUCACAGUGAGGGUUCUAAAGCACGUAGUGGGUGAGGAACUUGUCCAGGGUCACACAACUAAGUGGGGGUGGAGAAACAUCAAAUCUAGGUGGUCCAGGUGGUGGCCAGAACCCAUCAGCACCUCACUACAGCUGCCUCCAGUUUCUCGCUCUAGGAAAUACUCUUCCCUGUCAACUCCUGUUGUCCUCUGGGCUCAGUUGACAUGUCAUCUCCUUGAGGAGGACAUCCUGAGAUGCUCCCCGACUAGGGUGGGCACCCACUUCCACACUCCAAAUGCCUAUUUGACCUGUGUAUCGCUGCAUCCCCACUGCCUGGCAGAUAGCAGGCCCCUAAUAAAUAUGAUUUGAGCAAAUAAAUAUAGUUCUUCAAAAAAUAGGGAGGACUUCUUGCUUCAGGUAAUGGUAGGCUAGGACAUUUGGACCAACCCUCCUGCAGAAAAUAGCCAUUUAUUUUGAUGCAAUAUAUCUGGCUAUGACUAGAGAUUUCAAAUAUUUGGAGGGCUAUUAUGUGAAGAACUAAACUUACUCUUUGUGACAUAGAGGUCAGAAAUUGGUCGUUUCCAUAGAGUAUGAGAGAGACAGAAUUGUGCUCAUCAUAAGUAUCUUUUUUAAAAGUUAGACUUAAUAAAAUGGGCUGCCUUGGUAGGUGGUGAGUUCUCUGUCACGAAAGAGAUUCAGCCACUUGCUCUGAGAAAGCAUGGAGAAUAUCAACAUUGUAAGGGUCGACCACCUCAUCUCUGAGGCCCCCUCCUCACUUAGGUUGCCAUUGCAGGUGGAACACUGGGCUGAGUGUCAAAGAACCUGGGUUCCACAAGCUGUGCGACCAUGGCUGGUUGUUUUGGAUCUCAUUCCUAAUAUCUGUUAGUUAAGCUGACCCGUCAAUACUGACCCACUUCACAGAGUUAUGAAGGGAUUAAAUUAGGUAUUACAUGUAAAUCUGUUUUGUUUGCUUUUUGUUGUUCUUUUUUGUUUUGCUUUUUUCUUUGCAUUAUGAAAUCCCAAGUCAACUUUUUCCAUUCUUUUAUUUUUUUAAAAAUUGACAUCAUCAUUAUAACCACAAAAUAAUUUUUAAAAUGGAAAAAAAAAACUCACCUGCAACCCCACAAUCUAAUACAAUAAUCAUACUUUUUUCCCUUUAUUCUCCUUUAUUGUGACCAAGGAUGACUUUGGGCAUUGCUGUGAGGAACUAUUUCGUUUAACACCCUACUACCUGAACAUGAUGCGUACUCAGCCUUUCACCACCCCCCAAGUAGCUACACAUGAUGUGAUAAUAGUAUUGGUGGUGGUUUUAGAGAGUUGGAGAGAAAACUGAAGUUGGAUUUGGGUAAAAGAAAAAAGAGUGGGAAUUAUUUUUUCUCCAUUCUAAAGCCCAUAAAGCAAUGUUAAUUGUUCCCACCCCUCUGCUAUUCUGUCUCCUCAGGUACUGUGUGCAGAAAUGUGAUUGAGAUUCAAGUCAGGGCCUCUCUGCCCUUUUCCCUCCAGAAACAAAACCAAGAUAAUUUAUCCUGAACACGGUGAAAAAAGGAAGGGAGGGAGGAGAAAAAGUCCGGGUCUCACCUGGGAUUCUCUGUCUCCUGCAACAUGAAGGAUUUAGCCUGGGAGGAGGUGGUGAGAACUCUGGGAGAGAAAAAAGAAGGAAAGAAUAGUUUUACCCAUGCUGAAGUUAAUUUAAACCUUCACCUAGAGAAGCAAAAAAAAAAAACCCACACUUUCCCAUUUUGUGCCUCCCUUCCUAGAGUUUUAGCCAAAGGUUUAGCUAAGUAAUUGGUUUUACCAGCGCACUCACUCCUCCUAUCCCAAGUCUGUUUGACUCCCUCCCCAUCAUCCUCCUCACCUCUUUUCAGGCAGGGUGGGGAUAGCAGCAGGAGGAGAUUUUGGGAGCCUGGCAACUCCUGCAAGGACCGCAGGACAGCCCCUCUGUGGGGAUGCGUGGUGCCCCAUCUGCCGCCCUUCUGAAGAAUGCACUGCCUUCACUUUUUACUGUGUUAGAGUCCAUCCAGACUGUUCUAUCCAAAAAAGUUUCUUUUUCCCCCACAGGCAAUCAGGAAAUGAUUCCUUUCCCGACUGCUUCUGUCUAGUGCCUGGGAAUCUUGAGUCAAUCCCUCAGUAAGUCAGUGACUAGGGAAAUCCCUCUCUGAGCCUCCCAGUUCAUGUUGCUUAGGGAACCUGAUAUUUUCGUGAAACCUGCCUACACAUGGGCAGCCCAACAGCAGAACAAAUGGUGGUGACCAAAGUGAACAAAGAAGUAUAGUUGUGCCAGCUUCGUAGUUGCCCAUGUGGACAAGUCAGCAGGAUCAGGACACGAGGAAGAGUAAAUGUGAGACAGUCAAUGUGACUUCUGCGAUAAACAGAUUUUUAAACCCCGAAAUUUUGCAAAAUUUUGGUGAAACCUGAACUUUCUUCGUUGCAUAUACUGGCACUAUCUGUACCAUCAUACAACUGUCUCACAUUAAAGCUAUUUUUCUUGGGCACUGAUGAGUAAGGUUGGUAUAAGUUCCUCAGAUCAACAAAAACCCAUUUUCCUGUAAGUCUUACAUUUAGUAUUUAAGGAACUAAAACUUAAAUACAUUUUGUGAAAUGGUUGACACUUCACUGAUAAUGAUUUAUUGCUUGGAUUAAUAAAUUUUCCAAAAGUUGUCUUAUGUAGAAUAUGGUUUGCAACCAGCAGAACCAUUAAUCUAUACUGCAAUGAUAUGCACUAUGUAUAAUUGUUUAAAAGCCUCUACUUAAUGAUGUAAAAUGCUCUAUUUAAUUACACAUUUGGGUAAACUGUAUACUAACAUCUGAUGGCAUUUUUCCACUGUUUGUUGCUUUUUUCAAAUACUUUAUUGUACAAAGCUGUUCUUAAUAUUUUUCAAGUUUUUUUCUUUGAAUUUUGCUAAUGUUUUCCUUGAAUUAUGAGCACUGACAGAAUGUGCUUAGCACUUUUGGCUAUUCACACAGCUUUUGAGCAUGAUUUGCAUCCAAUAUUUACAUUGCUAGCAAUAAUAAGCCAUCUGUGAGUUUUGUCAAAA
rnacentral:lncRNA from 1 species